rnacentral:misc_RNA from 1 species
UCCUCCUUCUUCUUCUCCUUCUUCUAAGAAACAAUAACUAUACUCUAUCCUCUAAGAAACACACAAGUUUUCUAGAUUCAUUUAACUAGCUGCUUUUGGAAACAGUGUUUUAAAAUCUUGGGCUCUACUCAAAGCACCCUCUCUAUUUUUCAGAACAGUUAAAGUUGCUUGCUAAAAUCUUAAUAAUUGUUCCCUGUAAAAGAGGUGCAGGGACACUAUAGUCUUAGCAAUAUCUUCUAUUUAUUAACAAGAAAUAUUUUUGAGACAUACAAUCUUGAUCAUAAUCAGAUGUUGUAAUUUCAUUGACCAGUUUGCCAAAGGAAAAGAAAGAGGCAAAGAAUUGAAUGCUACAGUAACCCAUGGGCACUUGAUCAACGUCAGGAGAAGGAGACUAGCACAUACUUGUACAAGUCCCCAAAACAUGGUCAACAAAAUCAUUCAAAAGUCUACAAAUAUAAGAAUUCAAGUUCAACAUUUGUAAGCUGAGGCAAGAGAAGGCAAGUCAAAGUGCAGAAAUCCAAACCAGAUUAAUGUGAACCUUCACAGAACAGCUAAAGUCACUGUGAUUGUAAAAUCAUUUCAUGACUCUUUUAAAACGAAAAAAGCAGCAUCUUCACAAAAUAUCAUCCAAUAUAAAACGUCUUUAUUCACUUUCUGGCCUUGAUGCCCCGACACAGAAACUGUACCUUUGAUUGCUCAAAAUAAUUAUGAAUCGAAAUAAAACCAAAGAGUUCACUAAAUAUGAGUCUCUAAUCAAACACAAAUUUAAAUUCUUUAUUUCUUUUUGGAACGGUUGAAUAAUAACCCAAAAUUGAGUGGGGGAAAAAACAUUUUUUCCCACUGUUCUGUUCAGUCACUGAGAAAAUGGAGAAACAUAUCUCAAAAGAGCAAUUUUUAUCAUUGGGGCCUAUUCUCAAAUAACAAUGGAAUAAAAUAAAUACAGCAGAUUAUCUGAAUCAACUUCUCAUUUUUCAGUGAGUUGUCAGCAUCCAAACAAAUAAAUAGUGCAUGUAAUAGCAAGACAAAGAUGAAACAAG